rnacentral:rRNA from 1 species
UACGUAGGGUGCAAGCGUUGUCCGGAAUUAUUGGGCGUAAAGAGCUCGUAGGCGGUCUGUCGCGUCGGCUGUGAAAACUUGGGGCUCAACCCCAAGCCUGCAGUCGAUACGGGCAGACUAGAGUGCGGUAGGGGAGACUGGAAUUCCUGGUGUAGCGGUGAAAUGCGCAGAUAUCAGGAGGAACACCGAUGGCGAAGGCAGGUCUCUGGGCCACUACUGACGCUGAGAAGCGAAAGCAUGGGGAGCGAACAGG